rnacentral:rRNA from 1 species
GCUCAGGAUGAACGCUGGCGGUAUGCUUAACACAUGCAAGUCGAACGAAAGCUUUAUGCUUUAGUGGCGAACGGGUGCGUAAUACGUGAGAAUCUGCCCUUAGGAGGAGAAUAACUUCUGGAAACGGUUGCUAAGUCUCCAUAUGCCGAGAGGUAAAAUAGUUUACACUGCCUAGGGAUGAGCUCACGCCUGAUUAGCUUGUUGGUAAGGUAAUGGCUUACCAAGGCCACGAUCAGUAGCUGGUUUGAGAGAACGAUCAGCCACACUGGGACUGAGACACGGCCCAGACUCCUCCGGGAGGCAGCAGUGAGGAAUUUUCCGCAAUGGGCGAAAGCCUGACGGAGCAAUACCGCGUGAGGGAUGAAGGAUUUUGGUCUGUAAACCUCUUUUCUCAAGAAAGAAGUUCUGACGGUACUUGAGGAAUAAGCAUCGGCUAACUCCGUGCCAGCAGCCGCGGUAAUACGGGGGAUGCAAGCGUUAUCCGGAUUUAUUGGGCGUAAAGCGCCUGUAGGUUGUUUAAUAAGUCUGUUGUUAAAGACUAGGGCUUAACCCUAGGAAAGCAAUGGAAACUACUAGACUUGAGUAUGAUAGGGGUAGAGGGAAUUUCUAGUGUAGCGGUGAAAUGCGUAGAUAUUAGAAAGAACACCGGUGGCGAAGGCGCUCUACUGGAUCAUUACUGACACUCAGAGGCGAAAGCUAGGGUAGCAAAAGGGAUUAGAUACCCCUGUAGUCCUAGCCGUAAACGAUGGAUACUACAUGUUGUGCAUUAUGUACAGUAUGGUAGCUAACGCGUUAAGUAUCCCGCCUGGGGAGUACGCUCGCAAGGGUGAAACUCAAAGGAAUUGACGGGGGCCCGCAC